CCCUGUGGAGCUUCAAACACUUAAAUUAAUUAUGUAACCAUCCAUUUCCCAGGAAAUAAACAAAAUAUACAACACUUCUAAUUUAACUGUUUUUGGUUGGGGUGACCAAGGGGAAAAACAAAUCCCCCUCAUCGAUUGAGUACUAAGUACUUAAAAAUUAGAAUGACAAUUCUAAUUAAUAAAACAUUUACCGAAAAAUGAUCCAGGAUUUCCUGAUCAAUGAACCAAGUUACCCUAGGGAUAACAGCGCAAUCCUUUCUCAGAGUCCCUAUCGAAGAGAGGGUUUACGACCUCGAUGUUGG
rnacentral:rRNA from 1 species